GAAAUGGGCCGCUUUGUGUUUUACCUACUGGGGUCGAUUACAGUGGCUGCUUUCACUGAUGCAUCGUCUAUGAAAGCCAAAAACCUCGCUCUCAAUGGAAAAGCCACUCAGUCUAUCCUGAUUGAAAACCCCUGGGCACCGUUUGGUCAUGCCUACAACGCUAUAGAUGGAAAUACUGAUCCAGACUUCACUCAUGGGUCCUGCACUGCCACCCCAUUGCAAAAGAACCCCUGGUGGAGGGUGGACCUGCAGGACGAGUACACCGUGACCUCCAUCACCAUCACCAACAGAGGAGACUGCUGUCCAGAGAGACUCAACGGAGCCGAGAUUCACAUCGGAAACUCUUUAGUGAACAACGGAAACGACAAUCCCUGGGCUGGAGUGAUCUCCAGCAAACCUGCAGAAAAAUCCGAGACCUUCACCUUUCAGAAGGAACUCUCGGGUCGGUAUGUUAACGUGGUCAUCCCUGGAGAUAAUCGGCUCCUGACUCUCUGUGAGGUCGAGGUCUACGGAUACCCCACUCCUGAUGGAGAGAAUGUUGCCCUGAAAUCAAGAGCUACACAGUCCAGCCUUUAUGCAAAUAAUUUUGCAUCCAGUGCCAUUGAUGGAAAUCGAGACGGUGUGUACGCUCACGGCUCCUGCUCACACACGGACAACCAGCUCAGUCCCUGGUGGAGACUGGAUCUCCUGAAACCACACAAAGUCUUCUCCAUCACCGUCACCAACUCGAUUAAUGCUGUUCCUCUGAGGCUGAAUGGAGCUGAAAUCAGAAUCGGGGACAGUCUGGAGAACAACGGCAACAACAACCCGAGGUGUGCUGUGAUCUCGGUUGACGUGAACAACCCAACCAUGACCUUUCAGUGUAAGGGGAUGGAGGGACGCUACGUCAACGUCGUGAUUCCAGGAAGGAACGAGUUCCUCAUCCUGUGUGAGGUGGAGGUCAAUGGAGCUCCAUUGAUCUGAGAAAUGUCUUGGCUUCAAUGGAAUUGUUUGAAAUGUAUCUCUUGGUGUGCGGUGAUCUCCAUCGAUAAGGAGAACCCUUUAAUGACCUUUCAGUGUAACGGGAUGGAGGGACGAUACGUCAACGUCAUUAUUCCAGAGAGGAAAGAGUAUCUCACGCUGUGUGAGGUGGAGGUGUAUGGAGCUCCUUUAAUGCAAAAAUCUCGCUCUCAAUGGAAAAGCCACAUCGGAAACUCUUUAGUCAACAACGGAAACAACAAUCAACAAGCUGGAGUGAUCUCCACCAUCCCUGCAGGAAAAUCCGAGACCUACACCUUUGAUUCAGGGAUCUCAGGUCGUUACAUUAAUGUAUUCAUCCCUGGCAAAAAUCGCCUCUUGACUCUUUGUGAGGUGGAGGUCUACGGCUACCCCACUCCAAAUGGAGAGAAUGUUGCGGUGAAAGGCAGAGCUACACAGUCCAGUCUUUACAGUAACAGUUUCCCAUUUACUGCCAUUGAUGGAAACCGGGACGGUGUGUACGCUCACGGCUCCUGCUCACACACGUACAACAACCUCAGUCCCUGGUGGAGACUGGAUCUUCUGAAACGCCACAAAGUCUUCUCCAUCAUCAUCGCCAACAGGAAGGAUGCCGUUUCUGAAAGACUGAAUGGAGCUGAAAUCAGGAUUGGAGACAGUCUGGAGAACAACGGCAAUAACAACACGAGGUGUGCGGUGAUCUCCAUCGAUAAGGAGAACCCUUUAAUGGCCUUUCAGUGUAACGGGAUGGAGGGACGAUACGUCAACGUCGUUAUUCCAGAGAGGAAAGAGUAUCUCACGCUGUGUGAGGUGGAGGUGUAUGGAUCUCCUUUAAUGUGAGGAACCUCGUGAAUUAAAGCUAUAAAACUGUGUUUAACAGCCCUG